rnacentral:rRNA from 1 species
UGGGGAAUAUUGGACAAUGGGGGCAACCCUGAUCCAGCCAUGCCGCGUGUGUGAAGAAGGCCUUCGGGUUGUAAAGCACUUUUGUCCGGAAAGAAAAGCACCUAAUUAAUACCUGGGUGUCAUGACGGUACCGGAAGAAUAAGCACCGGCUAACUUCGUGCCAGCAGCCGCGGUAAUACGAAGGGUGCAAGCGUUACUCGGAAUUACUGGGCGUAAAGCGUGCGUAGGUGGUUCGUUAAGUCUGUCGUGAAAGCCCCGGGCUCAACCUGGGAAUGGCGAUGGAUACUGGCGGGCUAGAGUGCGGUAGAGGAGAGUGGAAUUCCCGGUGUAGCAGUGAAAUGCGUAGAGAUCGGGAGGAACAUCAGUUGCGAAGGCGGCUCUCUGGACCAGCACUGACACUGAGGCACGAAAGCGUGGGGAGCAAACA